rnacentral:rRNA from 1 species
GGCUCAGAACGAACGCUGGCGGCGCGCCUAAUACAUGCAAGUCGAGCGAGAAGACGUAGCAAUACGUUUGUAAAGCGGCGAACGGGUGAGGAAUACAUGGGCAACCUACCCUCGAGUGGGGAACAACUAGCCGAAAGGUUAGCUAAUACCGCAUACGUUUCCGGAACUUCGGUUUCGGAAAGAAAGCAAUACCGUGGGUAUUGCGCUCAUGGAUGGGCUCAUGUCCUAUCAGCUUGUUGGUGAGGUAACGGCUCACCAAGGCUUCGACGGGUAGCUGGUCUGAGAGGACGAUCAGCCACACUGGCACUGCGACACGGGCCAGACUCCUACGGGAGGCAGCAGUAAGGAAUAUUGCGCAAUGGGCGAAAGCCUGACGCAGCGACGCCGCGUGGGGGAUGAAGGUCUUCGGAUUGUAAACCCCUUUCAGGAGGGAAGAUGGAGCGAGCAAUCGUUCGGACGGUACCUCCAGAAGCAGCCACGGCCAACUUCGUGCCAGCAGCCGCGGUAGUACGAAGGUGGCAAGCGUUGUUCGGAUUCACUGGGCGUACAGGGUGUGUAGGCGGUUUGGUAAGCCUUCUGUUAAAGCUUCGGGCCCAACCUGGAAAGCGCAGAGGGUACUGCCAGGCUAGAGGGUGGGAGAGGAGCGCGGAAUCCCCGGUGUAGCGGUGAAAUGCGUAGAGA